GUCCACAGCCUCCACGACGUCCACGACCUCCAGGACUCAAGUAUUGCAUAGAUUACACGGUUUGCUACAACGACUACCUUCAACGAGAAAGCCUUCCGAUAGAAGAAAAUGAGACACCUUCCGAUUUUGUUGAGGAAGUACUCUAUGUUGCCAAUCUCUCUCCCCAAACUAAAAUAUUGCAUGUCAAAGAAUUCUUCAAAGAUGUUGGAGAAGUUGUUAGUGUUCGACUUAUUGUAAACCAAGCAUGUGGGCUAUGGCUUUGUUGACUUUGCUUCUUCUAACGAAGCAAAGAAGGCGCUGCAAAAGAAGAAUGGUGAAUAUUUGCAUGAUCAUCAGAUUUUUCUUCAAGUGGCUAAGACAGCUCCAUACCCUACACGACCCAAGUACAACCUUGCAGAGAAGCUUUGUUACGAAGACUACCUUCGACGACAAAACCUUGUGAUAGAAUAAGAUGAGACAGCAGUGGAAGGACUUGAUGAAACUCCCAAUUUUGUUGAGGCAGUUGCUGUAAGAAAAAAGACGCUCUUUGUUUCCCGUCUCUCUCCGGAAGCUCAAAUAUCAGAUAUCAUCAAUUUCUUCAAAGACGUUGGACAAGUUGUACAUGUUCGACUUAUUGUAGACUACACGGGCGAGCAUGUGGGCGAUGGCUUUGUUGAGUUUGCUUCUGCUAACGAAGCAGAGAAGGUAAGAGUAGUUUAUAGUAAUGAUGGAAGGUAUUAAAGUAGUAAUUUAAAAAGUAUUUUUAUUAGAUAAGAAGAGCCAAGUAUCAUUAAAAGAAGAGCAGCAAAAACAAUAUUCAAAAUCAACAGCCAAGUAUAGAACAUUAGAUAAGAGAUCAGGAGCCACACCAAUUAAAUUACAGCGCCGGUGUUUUUCCCGGGAAGAUUUGAGAGCA